CAGAUUGUGAUAGGUUUUGCUUCUUGUGCAAUUUAUGAGAUUUGUUAAUCUUUGAAUAUUGAUAAGUUUGGAGCUCAAUGAAUCUAACUUAUGCACAUGUCUUAACAAUUUGUUGCCAGCAGCAGGGUGAUGAAAUUUAAGAAGUACUUGAGUUUCUAAGAAUCUCUUCCUCCUUUGUAAACCCUAAUGGAAGACUAUCGCCAGUUGUUGGUCUUCAUUUUCUUUUUUUGUUUCUUAUUUGGUUUUC
rnacentral:lncRNA from 1 species